GAUGAACGCUGGCGGCGUGCCUAACACAUGCAAGUCGAGCGAGAUAAAUGUGAGUGGAGACUUCGGUCAAAGCAAUCAUUUUGAAAGCAGCGGACGGGUGAGUAACGCGUGAGCAAUCUGCCCCAUACAAAGGGAUACCCACUGGAAACGGUGAUUAAUACCUUAUAAGACCACGAAGUCGCCUGGCUUAGUGGCCAAAGAUUUAUCGGUAUGGGACGAGCUCGCGUCUGAUUAGCUAGUUGGUGAGGUAAUGGCUCACCAAGGCGACGAUCAGUAGCCGACCUGAGAGGGUGAACGGCCACACUGGAACUGAGACACGGUCCAGACUCCUACGGGAGGCAGCAGUGGGGAAUAUUGCACAAUGGGCGCAAGCCUGAUGCAGCAACGCCGCGUGAAUGAUGAAGGCCUUCGGGUCGUAAAGUUCUGUCCUAAGGGAAGAAUACAGUGACGGUACCUUAGGAGGAAGCCCCGGUUAACUACGUGCCAGCCGCCGCCGUAA
rnacentral:rRNA from 1 species